rnacentral:misc_RNA from 1 species
AACCUCGUUUGCUUGUGUAGUUCAGUCCCUUUCUUUGUUUCCGGUCUGCCUUUUCCAUCUCAUUUUUCUCCUUGACUGGUUUCUGAUCCAACAAACAAUGAGAAUCCGAGACAUCGUCAUUAUCGGCGUCGCCUUUGUGUGCAGCAUCAUCUGCUGGUCACAGGAAGGCUCGCUCAACUUUCAGCGGGGGUUUAUGAUUCCCAUCUUGGACAAUGAGCUCACGGAGGUGAUCAUGCCGAAGCCGAUUCUGGUGGACCCAGAUGGCUCAGGGUCCCGCGUUCUCCUGAGUUCUACCAGUGUUGGUUACCUGAACAUCUACAACACCUACUACGCGCGCCGACGCAUCGAUGACAGUUUUGUGCGCCUCAACCCCUCUGCGGAGCUCAAUGUGUACACCCCUAUCGUCGGUAUCGGCGCCGGCUACACGGAGCUGAACAGUAGCAUUAUGCUGUGUGCUGUCGUCACGGAAGACUAUCAGCUCAUAGCGGUUUCUAUCCACACCCCCUCGCCCAGUGUUCUGUGGAAGUCCCAGCUCGUGGCGCCUCGGUACUGGAGCGAGCUUACUCACGCCUCCAUCUCUAUUGUCCCAGAGCGCAAUUGGGCUGAAGAUGUCGGCAUGAUUGCGGUGGCUGCCAAAGUUGUGGAUGCGUCAGGUGUAGAGAUGAUGAUGUACUCCGCGUUUGACGCCAAGACAGGCGCGCGGCGCUGGGCGUACUUCUCUGACGGGGGCAACGAAAUGGACGACGUGGUGCGCGAGGCAAACAACAACGGGACACAGACAGACAACGGCGUUACAGAGUUGCGCUUGCUUGACCGUGAGGGUGCAGCCAAGGGUGGCAUCAAUCAGCACGAUUACUUGCUAGGGAGGAAGUACGAGCAGCCGUGGACCACAUUCCGUGAGUCUGUGAUGGCUUCCAUGCCGCAUCGCUACGCCCACGUGUGGGAUGCGCAGUUGUACCCGCAGGUUUUCUAUCGAGCGAAGGGGAAGCGGAAGGCGCGCUCUAGUAGAGGUAAGGCAGAGCGACGGGCUACAUUUCGGUACAACGACCGGGUGGUGCAUAUGGAGACAGACGAUGGAGGCAACCUGGGAGACAAGCUGUCGGCGUUGGCACUGUCAUUAAGGCAAUCCACUCACGCCUAUCCCGCCAAAAAUGCAACGCGGCGGCGCCGUCGCCCGUCGAACGUGUUUGUGUUUCACGGCGAGCAGGGCGUAGAGGUGGUCCACAUGUACACGGGAAGUACGGUGACAAGCGUAAUGCCGCUGAAGGCUGGUGGAACGUGCUACGAUGACAUCAACGACGAUUUGGUGCUCGAGUCUGUCAGCACCCAGAUAGGCCCCCGCUCCGUCGUGUACGCCAAGCGCGGGAUUGACCUGACGUAUGACUGCCUCGGCAUAAUCGAGGCCGGGGCGCCGUCGUCUGCAGAUGAACUUUUCAACGCCACCGUGUGCAAUACGCAGGGCCUCUUCGGCAACCUCGACCUCAUUCAUCACUUCGUUGACGGUGACAUCCGCGGCGAGGAGGCGCCGCGCGCGCUCAACACACUGGAGCUUCUGGGAAGCCGCAACGUUGUCUCCUCCAUGACGCGCGCAACUCCGCCUCUGAUUCUGCAGGUCCAGCAGAACAUGGGAGCCGGUCUACAGCAGGUAGAACGCUACGCUGCAUUCAUGAUUGACACCGGCCUCGUAACCUGCAUUGACCCAUCGCGGAGGAGGGUGCUGUGGCGCGCUCAAACAGGCGCACGCUUCGCCCCAUCUCCAUCUGACGACAUGGCGGAGAUAAGGAAGAGCCGCUAUCACGUGAAUAGGGACGUGAAGCCGUUCCCGCAAAUGGUGCCGUACUCGCUCAUGCAGAAGAACCGCGAAACCGACGUGACGUUCGUCGGUGGAGGAAAGGAGUACUUCCGCCGCGUCGACACCUACGUUCUCGCAGUGGGCGACGCUGAGUUCUCCAUCAUCAAGACCAAGAACGGCAAGGUAACUCGCUCCGUUUCGUUGACGGAGCCGCCGGUGGCGCCGGUGCUCGUAGUGGACUUCAACGGCGACGGCACAAACGACCUCAUUAUAGUGUCGAAGUACCACAUUUUCGGCUAUGUGGGGAGCUCUCGGGCGUCGUCCGAAACUAUUGCCGCCCUGAUGCUUUUGCUGGUAGGGCUUCUCGGCAUUUUGUUCGCCGUUCGCGAAAAGAAAAUGGCGGAGGGAGACCAAGACAAUUACACGCUGCCCGUGCACACAGGCGACAAGGUGCAACGUAAGAAGACUUUCAAGCGCUCCACCGACUAAGCUGAUGCGUGCCCUCAUGUACGUGCUCAGGUUUUCUUCAUCGUGUGCGCGUGUCUGCGUGUUUCACAGAGUACGGCACUGUCAUGCACAAAGGCCCCCUGCGCAUGCUUUCUUUCAUCGUUGUUUUAUUGCUCGUCUGCUAGCGUGUGCGCUGUUAGGAAAGAGAGGCAGAUGUGGACGGUUGUGAGUCGGGCGCGUGUGAGGUUCCGAGACUCAGUGCAGUCUUUCGAGGUGCAUCCAUGGGCCAUCGCUAUGCGACAAAUGGCGAUAGAAGAGCAGCACUGGGCGAUGUCUGUGCUUCUUUGCUGUAUCUUCGCGCCAGCUGAUGGGCGAGUGUGCGGGUACCGAAGUGUGUGGCUGUUGACAGGCGCGCAGCUCUUCUUUCUGGUCAUGGCGAAGCAGUCAUCCUGAUAUAUGUC